CAGUAGCCACGGUAAUACGUAGGUGGCAAGCGUUGUCCGGAAUUAUUGGGCGUAAAGGGCUCGCAGGCGGUUUCUUAAGUCUGAUGUGAAAGCCCCCGGCUCAACCGGGGAGGGUCAUUGGAAACUGGGAAACUUGAGUGCAGAAGAGGAGAGUGGAAUUCCACGUGUAGCGGUGAAAUGCGUUGAGAUCGGAAAGAACACCAACGGCGAAAGCACUCUGCUGGGCCGACACUGACACUGAGAGACGAAAGCUAGGGGAGCAAAUGGGAUUAGAUACCCCUGUAGUCCCUGUCUCUUAUAC
rnacentral:rRNA from 1 species